AGCGCAACCCUCGACCUUAGUUGCCAGCAUUCAGUUGGGCACUCUAAGGUGACUGCCGGCUAAAAGUCGGAGGAAGGUGGGGAUGACGUCAAAUCAUCAUGCCCCUUAUGACCUGGGCUACACACGUGCUACAAUGGGCGGUACAAAGGGUCGCGAACCCGCGAGGGGGAGCCAAUCCCAAAAAGCCGCUCUCAGUUCGGAUUGCAGGCUGCAACUCGCCUGCAUGAAGCCGGAAUCGCUAGUAAUCGCGGAUCAGCAUGCCGCGGUGAAUACGUUCCCGGGCCUU
rnacentral:rRNA from 1 species